CCUACGGGGGGCAGCAGUGGGGAAUAUUGGACAAUGGGCGCAAGCCUGAUCCAGCCAUGCCGCGUGUGUGAAGAAGGCCUUUUGGUUGUAAAGCACUUUAAGCGAGGAGGAGGCUACUUGGAUUAAUACUCUAGGAUAGUGGACGUUACUCGCAGAAUAAGCACCGGCUAACUCUGUGCCAGCAGCCGCGGUAAUACAGAGGGUGCGAGCGUUAAUCGGAUUUACUGGGCGUAAAGCGUGCGUAGGCGGCUUUUUAAGUCGGAUGUGAAAUCCCUGAGCUUAACUUAGGAAUUGCAUUCGAUACUGGGAAGCUAGAGUAUGGGAGAGGAUGGUAGAAUUCCAGGUGUAGCGGUGAAAUGCGUAGAGAUCUGGAGGAAUACCGAUGGCGAAGGCAGCCAUCUGGCCUAAUACUGACGCUGAGGUACGAAAGCAUGGGGAGC
rnacentral:rRNA from 1 species